rnacentral:rRNA from 1 species
AGAGUUUGAUCCUGGCUCAGAACGAACGCUGGCGGCAGGCCUAACACAUGCAAGGUCGAGCGCGCCCUUCGGGGUGAGCGGCGGACGGGUUAGUAACGCGUGGGAACGUACCCUUUGGUAGGGAAUAGCCACUGGAAACGGUGAGUAAUACCCUAUGAGCCCUUCGGGGGAAAGAUUUAUCGCCAAAGGAUCGGCCCGCGUUAGAUUAGGUAGUUGGUGGGGUAAUGGCCUACCAAGCCUACGAUCUAUAGCUGGUUUUAGAGGAUGAUCAGCAACACUGGGACUGAGACACGGCCCAGACUCCUACGGGAGGCAGCAGUGGGGAAUCUUGGACAAUGGGGGCAACCCUGAUCCAAGCCAUGCCGCGUGAGUGAAGAAGGCCUUAGGGUCGUAAAGCUCUUUCGCCUGUGAAGAUAAUGACGGUAGCAGGUAAAGAAACCCCGGCUAACUCCGUGCCAGCAGCAGC